rnacentral:pre_miRNA from 1 species
UCUAGAACUCGAGAUAUGGGCUGAACACUGAACAGUGUCUGGGCUACAGGACAAAUUCGGACUUCUCUGUUGUUGCUACAAUUUGGACUUGAAAACGGCUUUUUUAAAUCUUGGACAAGUUUUAGGCCUAUGUCUUAGCUUUCCAUC